AGGCACCAGACAUCUUAUGCCCUGUCCAAGGCUAGCAGGUCCUUGUCCCUGAAGGGCCAUGGAGCUGAGUGACCAGCGUGCCUCUCUGGGUCCUGUGUGUGUGGUAGGAAUCUUCACACUGCCUUGCUGUGACCGUGGACCAUCGCAUCACCUCCCUGGGCCUUGGUUUCUUGGCCUCUAAAGACUGACCUUAUGGGGUUGUUUGUAAGGGUGAAGGCACAAAUGCAAGCCAAGUCCUUAGAAUUCUCGGCACAUAGCAAGUGCUCAAUGAACCGCCUGGCUGCUGUUCGCUGGGGACACAGUCUUUUGCUCUCUGGAUGUCUCACCGUGCCCUGUCCCUGCCUCACAGGGCCAUCCAUCAAUGCUGGUGAGCUGAGCUUAGCUGACAAGCCAGCCUGGCACGGAGCGCUGCCCCUCCUGCUGAUCCCAGAUCCGUUCUGUCCAGAGGAGGAUUUCUUAUCCCCAGGAGAUGCCUGGCCUCGUUAGAAGCCUCCUCACCCACCCGCGUGCACCAACCCUCUGACUCCCUCCACCUCACCACCUGGGGACAACAGGAAGAGAGCAGGACAGCAGCAGAAAGGAGUGCUGCUUAUGUGGCUCUUCUCAGAAGCAGGAGGCUCCCAGGCCAGGAAUGUGAAACUGUUUUGCAGAUGAAGAAGAUGAAGCCCGAGAGGUUAUGAAACAGACCCAAGCGGGCUCACUCUUCAGUCUUGGGCAUCAGAAAUCCGGAACCUGGGCCGGUGUCUGGAACUGCUGUGCCCAGGCAGCUUGCCUGGAAAUCAGGUAGCGCGGGGGGACCCCAAAAUCCCCCUGUGACAGACCACGAAUCUGCCGUGUUUGUGCACCUCUGUUUUGCUUCCCAGAAACGAAACUUUGGCAACUGGAGAGGGAUGGAGUGGGGCAGGUGGGGUACAGCAAGAUGGGGAAACAGAACU
rnacentral:sRNA from 1 species